GAUUACGCGAAGAACCUUAUCCCAGACUUGACAUGUUCGAAAGAGUUAGCAGGUAGAACCCGGAAACGGGGACGAACGGUAUCCAAUCCGGAAGCUAACACAGGUGAUGCAUGGCUGUCG
rnacentral:rRNA from 1 species